UACGGAGGAUGCAAGCGUUUAUCCGGAAUGAUUGGGCGUAAAGCGUCCGCAGGUGGCUAUGUAAGUCUGCUGUUAAAGAGUCUGGCUCAACCAGAUAAAGGCAGUGGAAACUACAUGGCUAGAGUGCGUUUCGGGGCAGAGGGAAUUCCUGGUGUAGCGGUGAAAUGCGUAGAGAUCAGGAAGAACACCGGUGGCGAAAGCGCUCUGCUAGGCCGCAACUGACACUGAGGGACGAAAGCUAGGGGAGCGAAUGGG
rnacentral:rRNA from 1 species